ACGGGACCCGCACAAGCGGUGGAUGAUGUGGAUUAAUUCGAUGCAACGCGAAAACCUUACCUACCCUUGACAUGCCAGGAACCUUGCUGAGAGGCGAGGGUGCCUUCGGGAGCCUGGACACAGGUGCUGCAUGGCUGUCGUCAGCUCGUGUCGUGAGAUGUUGGGUUAAGUCCCGCAACGAGCGCAACCCUUGUCACUAGUUGCCAUCAUUUAGUUGGGCACUCUAGUGAGACUGCCGGUGACAAACCGGAGGAAGGUGGGGAUGACGUCAAGUCCUCAUGGCCCUUAUGGGUAGGGCUUCACACGUCAUACAAUGGUCGGUACAGAGGGUUGCCAAGCCGCGAGGUGGAGCCAAUCCCUUAAAGCCGAUCGUAGUCCGGAUCGUAGUCUGCAACUCGACUACGUGGAGUCGGAAUCGCUAGUAAUCGUGGAUCAGCAUGUCACGGUGAAUACGUUCCCGGGUCUU
rnacentral:rRNA from 1 species